GUUUCACUGCUGCACACUCCUUUUAAAGGAGCUUUGCUGAGCCUCCAGGUUGACUGAUCUGAUUGUAUUUCCAAGACCCAGAGAAGUGUUUUUCAAGGUGAAGCAAUAUGUGGCCAGAGCUGAGAAACCUGCUGUCAGGCCUCAGUUGGAAGGAAGGUAUCCAGCCCAGGCCUGCUCUCCAUGGCAAUGUCCUCACCUAUGGGCACUGCUCAGCUGGACAGAGCUCAGGACCUGCAGCCCUC
rnacentral:lncRNA from 1 species